CUAGGACCCACAGCAGCCCUUGAGGACCAGUUUGGGCACUCGUGUUUAAGAGGGAAAGCUUGAGCUGACCUGCAGCGAGGUGCUGUUCUCGGAGAAGGGAUCAGAAAGACGCUUGUCCCGCUUGUUGCAAACCUGCCAGGAGAAGAUGGCCCUUAAACGAUCGCAGAUCAAAGUCAUCAGCUCCAGCAUCACAUUGAAGGACUCCUUGUCGUUGUAGAAGACAACUACAUCCUCGCCGGCAUUGGUCAACUGUAUUGACACACUAUUUGUCAUACAGGAGGCAACAUUCACACUCGGACAAUACUCUUAGAGAGACUCACACCUCGGUCAUGAUCAUGUCCUGGCACUUCUUGACGUACUUGCCCUCAGCCUUGAUGAUAGUGUGUAGAAAGUUGAGGUAGUGGAUGUGACGUCCAUGCGUGGCCAAACAGUGGAUGAAGUGCUGCAGGACACUUUCAGAGAUCUCUGUGCAUAGCUGGUAGUUGUUGCUAAAGAUGUGUUGGACAGUCUCUGCCUCUAGCAGCUAAACAAGAAGGAAGGGGGUAGCAGACAUGCAUCAAAUGACUAAAUUUGUUUAAACUGACUCCAAAACCUGUUUGGCCUCCUUAGUACGGUCUUUAACUUGUCCAGCUUCUUUGUUGUAGAUCAAAGUUUCUUUGUACUGUAUGUCAGACAGUUUAAUCAGAUCAGGUAGCAUGAGAUGAUACAUAGAAGUAGAGGGGCGAAGCAAAAAGAAAGUGGACAAUGACAAAACUAAUGGACCAUAUUGCUGAAACUGGACACGUAUUUUGUUUGUACUCUGAGAGAUGAGCACGCAGAUGACUGACAACACAGAUCUCUGAGUAGGGAUUCUAAUAAACAAUACAAUAUACACAACGGGCUCAAUUUUUCUAGACAAUACAAUGACAAUACAAUGUUCUUUUAUGUCAUGACAGCGAAGACAACCAACAAGUUUUGGAAUA